GUUGGAUACAGUAUCGUUUAUUCAUAGUACCUGAUAAGGUAGGACUCCCCAAGCCCCUCCCCUUCUUCAGGGGGUCUGGGAUGGAAACUGGAGGUCAGGGGAUUCUCAGUGUGUUUGGGGAUGAGUUGGGACAAGGAUUCCCCAGCUGCUGAGGGCCUCUCUCUUCCUCUUGCUGAGGCUGGUAGUCCAGGGAGCUCUUACUCUUUGGAGGCCACGUGGACCAUAAAGUCCACUACCCAGUUGCUGUAGCCAAAUUCAUUGUCAUACCAGGAAAUGAGCUUGACAAGGUGGUCAUUGAGAGCAAUGCCAGCCCCAGCAUCAAAGGUGGAAAUAGCAGAAGAUGACCCGGUCCUCAGUGUAGUCCAGGAUGCCCUUGAGGGGGCAUCCCGAUGCCUGCUUCACCACCUUCUUGAUGUCAUUGUAUUUGGCAGCUUUCUCCAAGCAGCAGGU
rnacentral:lncRNA from 1 species